CUGCCGCGAAUAUCCCCCCCCCUCCGCUUUCUUCCUUUCUUUUGAAAUAAAAGAUGAAUCCUUUCGCAAAGCAGUAAAGUUUGCCAUUAAAAUUGACACCGGGGGAUGUCCGUAAAAGCCAAGUCCAUCUAGGAUUGGUUAGCCCGCCGGAAGUGGCUGGGAGCCCGGUGCAUUUUCCAAUAGAUAAGUGUCCUGCUGGAGGCCUUUCGCCUGAAAAGAGGUUCUUCCUCUCGUAGUCACGCACACGUGGGUACCUAUCUUGAUGGAAGAAAUUGCGAGGUGUCUGUCCGGCUGGAACCUGGUUAUCGACCUAAGCCUGCGAGAAGCAAAGAAGAAGAAGACAGGGAUAAGGAAGAAGAAGCAGCAAAGAAAAAUGGCUUGCAAAAAUCCUCAUCCUUAGAAUUCCCUGCACUUGAUGAAGCUUCACCAGGACUCUUUCAUCCCUGUGGUGACUUGAAAUGAGAUCAAAUGGACAGCUGAGCAAUCCCAAGAAAAUCAUUCUUCCUUACCCAAGCCCCAAUCAGAUCUUCAGGCAGUGGAGGUGAACAACUACCAUCGCCCAAGGCCCAAGAGUAGGAGGCAGGUUGCAAUGGUGCGGUUCAAAAUCAAAGAAAAUUCCUAAUUGCUGUUGACUUGAGAAGGAUCCAUUUGUCCCGCUCCCUGAGCAGCAUUUAUGUUUCUUAUAAAACUAGAAUCCAGAGCUGGAAAUUUUGAAGGGCAUUCAGAAUUUACUUUUUUGUACAAAAAGGGGGUACAAUAUGUUUAGAAAUUUUACUAGUAAUUGUGAUAGUAUUUUUUAAAAUACAAACACACACAUAUGCAUACAGAUAGAGACUGUGUACAUAAAAGCAGUAAGUACGCUCCAUUCAAAUUAACAAUAAUAUUAAUUAGCAAAGGUAGCUUUGUUUUGAAUAGCUUACAUCCUGUGACAAAUACCUUUAACACAAUCAAACAACAAACUCUCCCUAUUCUAGGUCCUUGGGAAGGACUCAUUAGGCAGACAAAAUGCAAAAUUCAGCCUGAACAUCCAGGCUGACUAUGCGAUGGACAAUACAACUAUAAUAAUUAUUUUUAUGCUGCCUGACUCCCAUUAAUUCUGGAUAAUUGACAAUUUUAAAAAAUAUUUAAAAACAAAGAACAAAUCAAAAUUGACAAAAUUGACACAAGACAAAAGAACAACAAUGAGAAGGAAUAUAAACUCAGAGAGAAAAAGAAAGGGGCACCAGUCAUCUUCUCCAAAGAACUGGGUGAAGAAGCAGACCUUUAAGGUCCUUCAAAAUAUCAAUAGGAUAUUAUCCAGAUAUAUGUACAGAAUAACUAAUUUUUAAUUUCCCUUUCUAAGGAAAUUUGGGUCAAUUCAGGCUGCGCUCACUUUAGAUUUUGGUAUAGCUACUUGAUUGUGUGGCUCUCUGGAUUCUAACUAUAAUUGGAAUUUUGACUAAUUGGGAAUAAUUGCUUUCCCAAUUAUUGCUAAGAGUUUUUGAUUUCUGGAAUCCAGAAAUUAAUUGUCCUGUGAAGGAAAAUAUGAAUAGAAAAAAACAUAAUAUCUUGCCUGGCCAUUGUGAUGGAUUGAUUUCUAAGAUACAUCUCUUGUAGUAGGCCAGUUCAAGCUAAAAGGAGUUGCUGGCUUUUGCAUAGUUUGCAUUUGAAUUAUAGUUUGGAUUUGAAUAAUAGAGGAGAUGGUCUAACUCUAAUCCCAUUUACUUAAGAAGUAAAUCCUGCAAAUGAAAUAGUAUUCACUUCCAGAUAAACAUUGGGACUGUAAGGUGAAUUUUCUCCUAUCACCUUCCCAAAAUGAGAAACUGGAAGUAAAGUAUAAGAUACCUGUGAAUGGAGGGACUUUCUUGUAUGUUCACAUCUGUGAUCUGUUCGUUUUACUUUGGAUUUUAGUUCUUGGCCUUUGGUCUCCAAAAUCUCUCUCCUAAAAAAUCCUAAGAGGAAAAAAAAAGAGAGAAUUAUGGAAUGAGCAUAUUAUGAACGUGUUAAGACUGAUCCUUCCAUUGAUAAAAAGAUACUUAAUAUGGAAAUAUAAAACAAACACAAGUACUUCAGUUGGACUGAUUACAUCCAGUUGGAUUUCACCCUGAACUUCAGGCUGUUCUAGAGCUGAGUUGGAUUUAAAGAAAAAGUUUGAGUGACAUCAUGCUCAGGUGUAGGUUACAAUAGAAAACAUGCUUUAAGUUUAAUAUAUCAUUCCUUAGUUAUUUAGAGAUGAAAUCAAUGAAAUGUUUUCUUAGAAAUCCUCCAUCACUCUCAAGGUUGAGAGAAUGUUUUUAAUUAUCCUGGUCUGUGCUCUUGAUUGAAUGUCCAAAAAUUCUGGAAUUGCUGGCAAAAUAAAAACUGCAAGUUAGUUUUUUUGUUACUUUUCUCACUGAUGUUAUAUUAGCUCUGAAUAUUCAGAAUAUGCAUAGAAACCUUGGGGCUAAAGGAAUGUAGCUUGUCCUAUAAGUACCCUUCCUAGUGGACAUAAUUUAUACCUUUGGCUAAAAAAAAUUCUCCACUUGCUGAUUCUUCUUCAAAUAUUAACAAACCUGAAAUAACCUUGGAGUGAAAUAUGGUUACACUCGGUUAGCUAAAAACUAGUCCUCUCCAAAACCAGCCUCUCUCAAUCCAAACAGACUGGAAAUAGGUUUCUCCAUUAUGGCUCCUCCAAGCGAUGUAUGACUCAGCCAUCCUUUAACAGAGAAGAGAAGAAAUCCAAUUUAAGGAAGUUUAAAAUGCUGUACAGAUGGAGACCGCAUUGGUUUCUUUGAAUGAGUUGUUCAAAAACAUUCUAGCAGUUUAUAGCCAUGGAAGAACCAUUCAAAGAAACAAUCUUGCUUAUUUUCUACCUGCUGUUAAAUAAUGUUGUUGUUUUUUUUAAAAAAAGAGGUUUUGCCCUUAACCAUUUUGCUGAAGAAUUACCAACAGCCUUGCGGUUGCUAAUUAAAGAAAGACUUAAUUGCUUGAAUCAGUAGCUUCAAAAGCAUAUGCAGAAAGCAGUUUAACAGGAUAGAUUUUUUUUUAAAAAAACAGACUACCAUGAACUUUAGUUGGAGCAUAAUUUCUUUCACUUUAAAAUGUACAUCUUUUCAAAACCUUAACACCUGUUGAAUGCAAUGCUAUUGAAUGAAUCAAUAAAGUGCUGUUUAAACAGUUUUAGCAGCUGGCAGAAAAGUGUUAGACUCCUGGUAAUGAAGAGAUGCUUUUGAUAGGUAUAUAUAAACUGUUUCUAUUUGUUUUAAAAAUAAAUAUGCAUGAAUUUUAAAUGCUUUCUUGAGUUAUCUUCAUAGUUUUCAGAAAUGCAGAGCUAGUUUGUCUAACCAUCUCUUAAUUCCUCACCAUACAUCUAGAUGCACAGUAGCAUUAUAGUUACUGUCUUUAGGUCAGAAAACAUUUUAGUAACUAGAUUCUGGUCCUGCAAAGGAAGAUUGAGACUUGGUAUGCAUAUUUAUUUGGAAACAAGACUUCCUUAUUGUAAUUCAUACCAGCUCACAUUGUAAUUCAUACCAUACAAAUUAAUCUUCUCACUAUUAAAGUUUCCUGGUAACUUCAUGGACACAUUAGUGUAUUGUUUUCCACAACAAUACUAGCAAUACCAAGUUGCCAUUGCUGCUUUUCGGGAUUUUCCCCCUUUCCAAAUCUUCAUUCCCAGUAUUUUCUGAUGGUCUCCCAUCCAAAUAUUAAUCAGAUCUGAUCCUGCUCACCUGCUUAAUCAAGAUUGGCUAUAAUAUAGGAAUGCAAAUAUAAGAUAGAGUGGUGCCAAAAAGAAGCAUAUUUAAUAGUCACAGAACUGAAAGGAAACAUUAAGCAUCAUUUGAACAUCAUAACAUCUUUAAAAAAAUAUCUUUGGUUAAUGUAUGGCCUUUUUGCUAAAAGCAGUGCUGGGCAUUUGAUUAUCCUGAUCUUUAUAGACUUUUUUGUUUUGCACUUCUCCAACUUCUUAAUUUUAGAUAAAUAUAUCAUUUCCCUUUGUUAAUUGAAAUUUAAUUUGAAUAUGUUUUGGUGCUCAUCCUUCCUUUAAAGUUAUGCCCAUUUAGGAUUGGUAUACUAACAGCUUCACCUGUGCAUGAUCUUUAAAUAUAAAUCCUAGUGAGUUAAAUAGAGUUUCCUUUUGCACAGAAGAGUGAAUUCUUACAGAAUCCCAUCCUGUUUCUCUUCAUUUAGAAGCAAGUUUCCUGUUUGCUAUCUAGCUGACUUUAUUUCUGAGUAAUACUGCAUAGAUUUUUAGUUUUGGGGAUAUAGCUUCAAAGGGGGUCAUAAACAUAAAGAAAUUUAAAAAAUAAUAAAUACUCUUAAACUUAGUUUAAUAGCUGUCUUAUAAAGUUUUUUACUUGCUACUAUUAAAUACAUAGAGCUUUGAUCUCAAUCAGAAAAGAGUUCUUGUCCUGUGAAUAGAUCCCACUCUAGGCAGCUACUAUUUUUGAAAAUAACCAUUCAGCAUUCUUCCUUUUAUUUAUCUAGGACUGGAAAAAGAUCAAACAGUUAUUGACAUUCUAAAUUUCCCUUGAAGUUGAAUCUAUCCCUUUCUCUAUCAUACUUAAUUGUAACUGUGUUCUUCUCUUGUAACAGUUUUUAACUGUAAUUAUUUGUAUUAAAGGGCAGACCCAUGUCCUGUUAUGGCUCUUCAUAAAAAGGCUCCAAGGAAUCACAAGAAAAAAAUAAAACUAAAAAGAAAAAGUCUUAGCCAUGUAAAUUUAUGAGUCCCUCCAUUCUCCUAAGCCUGAAUGCACACAUGAAUACAUAUACAUAGUCAGAAGUGGCUCUUUUAAAAUCAGCACUUUUUUUUUUCACUGAAAACAUUCUCUCCCUUGAGGUUGCAUCUGUAGCCAGAGAUCCUGUACUGAGUUAAGAGAUUAUUUCUAAAAUCAAGUACAGGUUUAUUAUUUUAAACUGUAAUAGACACAGGAUUUAUUUAGAAAAUAGUCCUGUUACACUUAAUUAUACUUACUUGAUUAUACUUACUUGUCAACAGAUUUAGAGUUGUACUUUUAACUUUUUUUUAAAGAAAAGCUUAAUUCAUGAAAAUAAUCAGAAAUGAAAAACAAAAUAUUAAAUCCUAAAAUGUUUUGUUUAAAAUACUUAAUCUUAAAUAUUAAAUGUUUUAACAUAUUCGUUAAAAAAAUCAUUAAUUUAUUUUGAGAGAGUGCCACCUAGAGGUCAUUUUAAGUAUUAACUAGGACAGAAGUUUUGCAAUCAAUAGAUAAAACAAUUGCCUAAGAAUUUGAAGUUGCCCCUUUGGAAUUAACAUCUCAAGUAUGAUGACAUUAGAAUGAGUUCUAAUAAGAAAUAUGUAGCCAACCCUCAGGACCUCAUUGGUUUGCAAAUUGUUUUCAAUUUCCAGAUCUAUAAUUUGAACAGGAGGUGGUGAUAUUAGUAAACAAACAUUUCAUUUCUAUGAAUAUAGUCGCCUUGAAUGUUACAAUAUUAAUUUUCCUUUUCCCCCCAAGUAUUGACUUUAUUUUCCUCUUAAGGGAGGCAAUACAUCCACAUUUUUUAAAGAGAGAUGUUUAAAUCAGUUCUUUUGCACUGCCCUCUUAAAUUUUUUUGCCAAACCAAAUUUGCAGCCACUUCACUCUUAAAACCAUGAAUGGAACUUAUUUGUUGCUCAUUUUUUGCCGCUAAAGUUGAAUUUUUAAAACAAAAAUCACAUUAAAAGUAUACAGUGGUGUUUCUCUGAUACAUGAUGCUUACUUCAAACCAUGUACUUUUUUAACAGGGAGCAAACCAAAAUCUAAAACAGUUUUCCCCACUGCCAUAUCCACUUGGAUUACAAAUCUUGUAACUUCUCUCCCAUGGCUAAAAUCUGGGAAUGACUAUUGGAACACAUUUUACUUCCUAAAUAAACAACAAAAUAUUUUCAAGUUAUAGGAAAGACUUUGUCUUUAAAAACAUAAAGUUCUUUUCAAUUCUGUAAAUUUCUACACAUUUUGUAUGUGAGUUCCUAAAACAAUAAUUUGCUUGGACUUAUAGAAAUUUUAAUACUGUUUUAUGCAUCUAAAUUUUUAUUUAAUACUUUAUUAAAUAAUCUUUACAUGUGUCAUGGUAUUAUUCAUAUUUAUUUAAAAGCAGUGCUGAUAUUUAAGAGGACCAGGAAGGAUUCAAUAUCUUUGAAACCUAGUCAAAUCACAUCUAUUGAACAAAAAGUAUGUGUUUAUAGCUAAUUUUGUUUUAUGCCAUAUUUGUUGAAUUGUAUUUAUUGCUUAGCAGAAUAAUCUCAAAUAGAGAAUUCUUUGCUUUCUUUGGCUAUGUGAAUGACCCAGAAUGAAAUUUUAAACAGUUUUCAUUCAGAUUAAAACAUAAGGAAUAUGUAACCUUCCAUCUAGCUCUUGCUGAACUGUUGCCACUACUAGCCUAAUAGCCGCUGAAGGCUCUAUUCAAAGUCCAAAUGUGUGGACUUCAACUCAAGAGUGUUCUCAGCAUUGGCCACGCUGCCAGGAGAAUUAGAAGAGUUUAAAUUCAUGCAUCUGGAAAUUGCUAAGAUUGGAAUGUGCUAUCAUCACAAACUUAUUUUAGUCUGGUUGUAUAAACCUAACCUGUGUGUCUGAUGUAAAAUAUUAGAAAUAAGUUACAAGGAAGUCCUCAUCCAUCCAAUAAAAUAUAUUGUCAGUAUUCAUGAAAAUGUGAUUCUUUUUAUUAUAUGGAUGCCAACAUUGUUUUGAUGUUUAUAGUUGUGGUGUUUUGUUUAUAUAAUAAUGUGUAGACUAUUUUUUUUUCUUCCCAAAUGGAAUCAAUUAAAAUAGAUUGCAAAAUAUAGGAGCAAAUAUAAAAAAUGAAUAAUUUAUUGAAGAAACCAAACCAAAAUUACAAUAGGAAAAAAAACCUAGAGACCCAAAACCAAGAAUCCAGCAAUGGCAGCAGUAUCUGUUUGAAAAAUAAAUAUUUGCAGUUAGAAAGGAUGAGAUAUUUUAGGAGCAGUGAGUUUCAAAUAAAAUAGGUAAUUUUUCUUUUAGCCACUUUUUUUAUGUUGCCAUUAAGUAUUUCUCAGAUGCAACCCAUUAAAGAAAAGGAGACAUAGAUAAUCUUAAAGCUUAGGUAGCUUUUCACAGAAAAUAUGUUAUAAUCAGAAUAUUUCAGAUACUUAAGCUACAUUACUUAAAACUCCAAAAGUAACAGUAAUACUUCUCACUGUUUGCUCUGAUUAUUACUUUGAUGGGGAGAACCAUUGGUGAAGAUCAGGAACCAUACCAAGAAAAUGACUUGGAUGUGACUAUAUGAACCACCAGAAGACAAACUCAAGGUAAUCCAGCAGCCAACUGGUUGCAUGCUCGUUCCUCCAGGAAGAAAAGAUGCCCCUAUACAAAAUAUCAGACCCUGGAACUGGAGAAGGAAUUUCUGUUCAACAUGUACCUCAC